rnacentral:rRNA from 2 species
ACUCCUACGGGUGGCAGCAGUGAGGAAUAUUGCACAAUGGGGGAAACCCUGAUGCAGCAACGCCGCGUGGAGGAUGACGGCCUUAUAGGUUGUAAACUCCUUUUCUGAGGGAAGAGAAAGGACGGUACCUCAGGAAUAAGUCACGGCUAACUACGUGCCAGCAGCCGCGGUAAUACGUAGGUGACGAACGUUAUCCGGAAUUACUGGGCGUAAAGGGCACGCAGGCGGUUGGUCAAGUCCGACGUGAAAUUUCUCGGCUUAACUGGGAGGCGUCGUUUGGAAACUAACUAACUUGAGGCAAUGAGAGGGGUGUAGAAUUCAUGGUGUAGUGGUGGAAUGCGUAGAUAUCAUGAGGAAUACCAGUGGCGAAAGCGGCACCCUGGCAUUGGCCUGACGCUCAUGUGCGAAAGCGUGGGUAGCGAACGGGAUUAGAUACCCCGGUAGUCCACGCUGUAAACGAUGAACACUAGGUGUAGGUGAAUUAAAUUUAUCUGUGCCGUAGCAAACGCGAUAAGUGUUCCGCCUGGGGACUACGGCCGCAAGGCUAAAACUCAAAGGAAUUGACGGGGACCCGCACAAGCAGCGGAGCGUGUGGUUUAAUUCGAUGCAACGCGAAGAACCUUACCUGGGCUUGACAUAAGCGUAGUAGUGAACCGAAAGGGGAACGAGCCUCGGCAGCGCUUACAGGUGCUGCAUGGCUGUCGUCAGCUCGUGUCGUGAGAU